CCUACGGGAGGCAGCAGUGAGGAAUAUUGGUCCAUGGGCGCGAGCCUGAACCAGCCAAGUAGCGUGAAGGCUGACUGCCCUACGGGUUGUAAACUUCUUUUCUAAAGGAAUCAAGUGAGGCACUUUUGCCUUUUUGUAUGUACUUUAUAACUCAGGAUCGGCUAACUCCGUGCCCGCAGCCGCGGUAAUACGGAGGAUCCUAGCGUUAUCCGGAUUUAUUGGGUUUAAAGGGAGCGUAGAUGGGUUGUUAAGUCAGUUGUGAAAGUUUGCGGCUCAACCGUAAAAUUGCAAUUGAUACUGGCAGCCUUGAGUACAGUUGAGGUAGGCGGAAUUCGUGGUGUAGCGGUGAAAUGCUUAGAUAUCACGAAGAACUCCGAUUGCGAAGGCAGCCUACUAAACUGCCACUGACAUUGAUGCUCGAAAGUGUGGGUAUCAAACAGGAUUAGAUACCCUGGUAGUC
rnacentral:rRNA from 1 species